CCAUAAACAACAUUUGCUUUUGUUAUGUGCAAAUGUUCUGCCUUUGACCAUAUCCUUGUGGUUUUGUCUGGGUUGCAAUACCAUUUCAUUUGUUUAAUCUGUUGUGGGACUUUGCGUCUUUCUUUGA